UUUCGCGCCUGCGCACAGAGCGCCGGCCGGGCCAGGGGCUGGGGGACGGCGGUGGCCGUGGAAGGGCUGGCGUUUAGCCGGCCAGCGAGAGGAAGGCGAGACCUGACCGCAUCGACUUCCGAGAAGGCAGGUCGCUCCAGGAAGGAACGUUCGGCGGUUUUCGUCUUUGUGUGAUUUGUAUGGGAGGCUCUCUCGGCGCGGCGGGUCUGCAGCGGCGCCCGGGCAGCCCUUGGACUGGGGGUAGGGGCAUCCCGCCACCGCCCAGGUGCGGGGCCGACGGCGGACUCGGACAGGGACUGACGUGUGGGCGGUGACAUCUGGGACCUGACCGUGCCCUGUUGUCCGGAUCGCUCAGGUGUCCGGAUGGAAGCGGAAGCGUCGAUUCCCAUGGGAAUGGCAGCUCUAUGAAAACAGGCGCUCCCUCCAUCCUGGUCACCACUGCAUCCCUGGAGCCUGACAAGGCCUGAUGGACAUGACGAGUACGCAGUGGCUGGAGGAUUCCGGGUGAGCGUGAAUCAGGAUCGGAGACGAAGGAGGCCUGCAGAGGCCAGACUGUGCAGGAUAAGAGAGAUGAGAAAACCCCGGGCCACUGAGAUUCUGUGAGGCUGGGCCACAAAUGGCCAGUCAAGCAUCCCAGCUCUCCACCUUGGGCCUGCUCCUUCCAGCUCGGACGGCUGCCUCUCUGCCUGCUGUCCCCACAGCAUCCCAGUGAAGGCAGCCCCUUUGACAAUGACAAUCCUCACCGUGGAGCUGGGACGCGACUCUUGCAUGGAAAGUCCGCAAGGGACCAGCCCGUGUGAGCACUGUUCUGACCACAGGGGGUGAGGCAAAGCGAGUUUGACAGGAGCUUCAUGGUCCGAGCAUCCUGGCAGGUGGACAGGUGUCCCCCAAGUUACAGGCGACACCUGGAGACCUGACGGAGUGGCCUAGGCCCCACAGGGAGAUGCCCCGUGAGCUAGGGCUUCCAAGGAAGCCCAGCUCAGGCUUAAAUCCACCCCACCUGAGCAAACGUGUCCAGAGAGGACUCAUGAUUUUUAAUUGUUUCCACCCCUCACCAGGAAAGCUCCAGUCUGACCCCCUGGACUUUGAGGGGCGUGGACAGAUAUCUACACCUGACCCUGAGAUGCGUCUUUUAAAAGACCUUGACUUUUCCUCCCAAGGUGGUGUUUUAGGGUGCGUAAGGCUGCUGGUUUCAAGGAGAGCCUGCCCUGCUAUAAGCAAAUUCGGAGUAGCAGUGCUUUCAUAACCCUCUCAGAGGACAGGCUGUUCUAGGGAAGUACACGUUCCAGUUAAGUGCCUUCCGUAUGCAAAGUUUUUCGUUUUAACUACGUUGUUAAAUUUUAACAAUUGGGAAACUUUGAAAACUGCUUCACACACUUCCUUGCCUUCUUGGGGGGAUAAAAAGGUACAGAAUUUUUCCCAGCGCUUUGGGGCCAUGGGGUCUGUGUGUUGCGUUGUGGGCUUGAUCCCCAGGCUACGAGCAGCCCUGGUGGGCUGUUUGCCCCACACUAUGGAGCCUGGACCGCUAGGCUGUUUGGAUUCCUUACUUCUAAUUUUUUUCCGGUUGUUUAUUCAUCCAAGCUGGCCCUUCUUCCUGUUCUCAGUCAGCGUGUCCGCCCCGGCCUUUCUGUGGCUGCUGUUUAAUCUGCUGAGGGACAGGGGACCAGAGCACCAAGCUCGUUCAGUUCUGUCUAGUUAUCCCUCCAUCAGUGGCUGGUGCAAGAUAGGAGUGCCGAUUUCUAUUUUUUAAGAUUUUGUAUUAUUUUAAGUCAUCUCUACGCCCAUCGUGGGGCUCGAACUCACAACCCGGAGAUCAAGAAUUGCACACUGCACCGACUGAGCCGGCCAGGCUCCCCAAGAGUGCGUAUUUCUGUUUGGUUGUCAAUGUGGUGUGCAAAUCUAUAUACACAUAUGCACAUUAGCUGUAACAGACAGCGUGUGUAACAUAUAACAUGUACGUAUGAAUCAUUACUGCUUUAAUUUUCACUUUAUUUUAUUUUUAUUUUAUUUUAUUUUAAAGACCGUAUUUAUUUAUUUGACAGACAGGGAGCAUGAGC